AUUGAACGCUGGCGGCAUGCCUUACACAUGCAAGUCGAACGGUAACGGGCCUUCGGGUGCCGACGAGUGGCGAACGGGUGAGUAAUGUAUCGGAACGUACCUUUCAGUGGGGGAUAACGUAGCGAAAGUUACGCUAAUACCGCAUAUUCUGUGAGCAGGAAAGCAGGGGAUCGCAAGACCUUGCGCUGAUUGAGCGGCCGAUAUCAGAUUAGCUAGUUGGUGAGGUAAAGGCUCACCAAGGCGACGAUCUGUAGCGGGUCUGAGAGGAUGAUCCGCCAAACUGGACCUGAGACAUGGUCCAGACUCCUACGGGAGGCAGCAGUGGGGAAUUGUGGACAAUGGGGGCAACCCUGAUCCAGCCAUGCCGCGUGAGUGAAGAAGGCCUUCGGGUUGUAAAGCUCUUUCGGCCGGGAAGAAAUCGUAUGGGUUAAUACCCUGUGCGGAUGACGGUACCGGCAUAAGAAGCACCGGCUAACUACGUGCCAGCAGCCGCCGCCGUAA
rnacentral:rRNA from 1 species